AGAUGACGAGUGGCGGACGGGUGAGUAAUGCUUGGGAACUUGCCUUUGCGAGGGGGAUAACAGUUGGAAACGACUGCUAAUACCGCAUAAUGUCUUCGGACCAAACGGGGCUUCGGCUCCGGCGCAAAGAGAGGCCCAAGUGAGAUUAGCUAGUUGGUAAGGUAACGGCUUACCAAGGCGACGAUCUCUAGCUGUUCUGAGAGGAAGAUCAGCCACACUGGGACUGAGACACGGCCCAGACUCCUACGGGAGGCAGCAGUGGGGAAUAUUGCACAAUGGGGGAAACCCUGAUGCAGCCAUGCCGCGUGUGUGAAGAAGGCCUUCGGGUUGUAAAGCACUUUCAGUUGUGAGGAAAAGUUAGUAGUUAAUACCUGCUAGCCGUGACGUUAACAACAGAAGAAGCACCGGCUAACUCCGUGCCAGCAGCCGCGGUAAUACGGAGGGUGCGAGCGUUAAUCGGAAUUACUGGGCGUAAAGCGCACGCAGGCGGUUUGUUAAGCU
rnacentral:rRNA from 1 species